UUACGCCUACGGGAGGCAGCAGUGGGGAAUAUUGCACAAUGGGGGGAACCCUGAUGCAGCGACGCCGCGUGAAGGAUGAAGUAUUUCGGUACGUAAACUUCUAUCAGCAGGGAAGAAAAUGACGGUACCUGACUAAGAAGCCACGGCUAACUACGUGCCAGCAGCCGCGGUAAUACGUAGGGGGCAAGCGUUAUCCGGAUUUACUGGGUGUAAAGGGAGCGUAGACGGGCCAGCAAGUCUGAUGUGAACACCCGGGGCCCAACCCCGGGAGUGCAUUGGAAACUGCGGGACUGGAGUGCCGGAGG
rnacentral:rRNA from 1 species